rnacentral:RNase_P_RNA from 2 species
GAGAGUCGGCGCAGGUGGUUGCGGAUUCACCCAAGUGGUGAAUCUGAGGAAAGUCCGGGCUCCCGAAAGACCAAACUUGCUGGGUAACGCCCAGUGCGGGCAACCGUGAGGAUAGUGCCACAGAAACAUACCGCCAAUUUGUCAUUAUUCCCUAGUCUGAUGUCUAUAACCAAGGACAUAAGACAAAGGACAUACGACAAGUUGGUAAGGGUGCAAAGGUGCGGUAAGAGCGCACCAGCAGCAUCGAGAGGUGCUGGCUCGGUAAACCCCGGUUGGGUGCAAGGUCGUUAGGAACUACGGUUGGUCUUUUACCAGUUCCUGCUUCAAGAGCCGCUAGAGGCGUCUGGUAACAGGCGUCCCAGAUAGAUAACUACCCUCCUAGUGAUAUAGGAGAACAGAACCCGGCUUACGUCCAACUCUCUCCC